CUUGAUCAGUGCACAGGGCGUGGGGGAGUACGGGGGUGGUAGGCGUUAUUCGGAGUCAAGAGGGUUAAAGGGUGCGUAGGGUGUGUAUUAGUUCAGUGGUGAAAACCCCGAGCUUAACGUGGGCAUGUGCAUGGAUACUAUCAGUCUUGAAUCACGGGGAGGGCAGGAGAAUAUGUCAUGUAGCGGGGAAAGUCUUAGAUAUGACAUAGAACACCAAGUGCGAAGGCAGCUGGCUACACGAAUAUUGACACUGAGGCACGAAAGCGUGGGGAUCAAACAGGAUUAGAUACCCUUGUAGUC
rnacentral:rRNA from 1 species